rnacentral:rRNA from 1 species
AGCGAACGCUGGCGGCAUGCUUUACACAUGCAAGUCGAACGGUAACAGGUUAAGCUGACGAGUGGCGAACGGGUGAGUAAUGCAUCGGAACGUGCCCGGUCGUGGGGGAUAACGCAGCGAAAGCUGCGCUAAUACCGCAUACGAUCUGAGGAUGAAAGCGGGGGACCGUAAGGCCUCGCGCGAUCGGAGCGGCCGAUGUCAGAUUAGGUAGUUGGUGGGGUAAAGGCUCACCAAGCCAACGAUCUGUAGCUGGUCUGAGAGGACGACCAGCCACACUGGGACUGAGACACGGCCCAGACUCCUACGGGAGGCAGCAGUGGGGAAUUUUGGACAAUGGGCGAAAGCCUGAUCCAGCAAUGCCGCGUGCAGGAAGAAGGCCUUCGGGUUGUAAACUGCUUUUGUACGGAGCGAAAAGGUCUCCUCUAAUACAGGGGGCUCAUGACGAUACCGUAAGAAUAAGCACCGGCUAACUACGUGCCAGCCGCCGCAGUAA